rnacentral:rRNA from 1 species
ACGAGGAGCUUGCUCCUCUGACGUUAGCGGCGGACGGGUGAGUAACACGUGGAUAACCUACCUAUAAGACUGGGAUAACUUCGGGAAACCGGAGCUAAUACCGGAUAAUAUAUUGAACCGCAUGGUUCAAUAGUGAAAGACGGUUUUGCUGUCACUUAUAGAUGGAUCCGCGCCGCAUUAGCUAGUUGGUAAGGUAACGGCUUACCAAGGCAACGAUGCGUAGCCGACCUGAGAGGGUGAUCGGCCACACUGGAACUGAGACACGGUCCAGACUCCUACGGGAGGCAGCAGUAGGGAAUCUUCCGCAAUGGGCGAAAGCCUGACGGAGCAACGCCGCGUGAGUGAUGAAGGUCUUCGGAUCGUAAAACUCUGUUAUUAGGGAAGAACAAAUGUGUAAGUAACUAUGCACGUCUUGACGGUACCUAAUCAGAAAGCCACGGCUAACUACGUGCCAGCAGCCGCGGUAAUACGUAGGUGGCAAGCGUUAUCCGGAAUUAUUGGGCGUAAAGCGCGCGUAGGCGGUUUUUUAAGUCUGAUGUGAAAGCCCACGGCUCAACCGUGGAGGGUCAUUGGAAACUGGAAAACUUGAGUGCAGAAGAGGAAAGUGGAAUUCCAUGUGUAGCGGUGAAAUGCGCAGAGAUAUGGAGGAACACCAGUGGCGAAGGCGACUUUCUGGUCUGUAACUGACGCUGAUGUGCGAAAGCGUGGGGAUCAACAGGAUU